rnacentral:rRNA from 1 species
UACAUGGGGUGCAAACGUUGCUCGGAAUUAUUGGGCGUAAAGCGCGCGUAGGCGGUUACUCAAGUCGGAUGUGAAAGCCCUCGGCUUAACUGAGGAAGUGCACCCGAAACUGAGUAGCUAGAGUACUAAAGAGGGUCGCGGAAUUCCCGGUGUAGAGGUGGAAAUUCGUAGAUAUCGGGGGGACACCGGUGGCGAAGGCGGCGACCUGGGUAGAUACUGACGCUGAGGCGGCGAAAGCGUGGGGAGCAAACAGG